UAAAUGUUCGAAAAUGAAGUUAGUAUGUAAAUUCAGAAACAGAGAAGAUUAGCAUGGCCCCUGCGCAAGGAUUACACGCAAAAUCGUGAAGCGUUCCACAUUUUU